AUUGAACGCUGGCGGUAGGCCUAACACAUGCAAGUCGAACGGCAGCACAGUAAGAGCUUGCUCUUACGGGUGGCGAGUGGCGGACGGGUGAGGAAUACAUCGGAAUCUACUUUUUCGUGGGGGAUAACGUAGGGAAACUUACGCUAAUACCGCAUACGACCUACGGGUGAAAGCAUGGGAUCUUCGGACCUUGCGCGAUUGAAUGAGCCGAUGUCGGAUUAGCUAGUUGGCGGGGUAAAGGCCCACCAAGGCGACGAUCCGUAGCUGGUCUGAGAGGAUGAUCAGCCACACUGGAACUGAGACACGGUCCAGACUCCUACGGGAGGCAGCAGUGGGGAAUAUUGGACAAUGGGCGCAAGCCUGAUCCAGCCAUACCGCGUGUGUGAAGAAGGCCUUCGGGUUGUAAAGCCCUUUUGUUGGGAAAGAAAAGCAGCAGGUUAAUACCUCGCUGUUCUGACGGUACCAAAAGAAUAAGCACCGGCUAACUUCGUG
rnacentral:rRNA from 1 species